UCAGUCGGUAGAGCGCUGGCCUUUUAAGCCAGUGGUCGUGGGUUCGAGCCCCACGGGGGGUG
rnacentral:tRNA from 1 species